AACGAACGCUGGCGGCAUGCCUAACACAUGCAAGUCGAACGAGACCUUCGGGUCUAGUGGCGCACGGGUGCGUAACGCGUGGGAACCUGCCCUUAGGUUCGGAAUAACUCCCCGAAAGGGGUGCUAAUACCGGAUAAUGUCUUCGGACCAAAUAUUUAUCGCCUUUGGAUGGGCCCGCGUUGGUUUAGCUAGUUGGUAGGGUAAAAGCCUACAAAGGCGACGAUCCAUAGCUGGUCUGAGAGGAUGAUCAGGCACACUGGGACUGGGACACGGACCAGACUCCUACGGGAGGCAGCAGGGGGGAAUAUUGGACAAUGGGCGAAAGCCUGAUCCAGCAAUGCCGCGUGAGUGAUGAAGGCGUUAGGGUUGGAAAGCUCUUUUACCCGGGAAGAUAAUGACAGUACCGGGAGAAUAAGCUCCGGCUAACUCCGUG
rnacentral:rRNA from 1 species